GAUGAACGCUGGCGGCGUGCCUAAUACAUGCAAGUAGAACGUUGAAGCUUGGUGCUUGUACCGAGCGGAUGAGUUGCGAACGGGUGAGUAACGUGUAUGUACCCUGCCUCUUAGCGGGGGAUAACUAUUGGAAACGAUAGCUAAUACCGCAUAAAAGUCUAUAUCGCAUGAUAUUGUUUUGAAAGUUGCCAUUGCAUCACUAAAACAUGGACUUUCGUUGUAUUGGUUAGUUGGUGAGGUAACGGGUCACCAAGGCGACGCUGCAUAGCCGAACUGAGAGGGUGGUCAGCCACACUGGGACUGAGACACGGCCCAGAGUGCUACGGGAGGCAGCAGUAGGGAAUCGUCGGCAAUGGGGGCAAAACAGACCGAGCAACGCCGCGUGAGUGAAGAAGGUUGUCGGAUCGUAAAGCUCUGUUGUAAGAGAAGAACGAGUGUGAGAGUGGAAAGUUCACACUGUGACGGUAACUUACCAGAAAGGGACGGCUAACUACGUG
rnacentral:rRNA from 1 species